UCAAGCUACUAAGGGCAUACGGUGGAUGCCUAGGCGCCAAGAGCCGAAGAAGGACGCGGUAAGCUGCGAAAAGCCACGGGGAACUGCAAGCAAGUAUUGAUCCGUGGAUAUCCGAAUGGGGAAACCCGGCCAUCGUCAUGGAUGGUCACCCGCAAGGGAGGGAACCUGGGGAACUGAAACAUCUAAGUACCCGGAGGAAGAGAAAUCAAACGAGAUGCCCACAGUAGCGGCGAGCGAAGAGGGCAGAGCCCAAACCGAGAAGCUCCGGCUUUUCGGGGUUGAGGACCGGCAGAAUCGAAGUCAGGCCUAGUUGAAUUACCUGGAAAGGUAAGCGAGAGAGGGUAAAAGCCCCGUAGACGAAAGGCAGAGCAGAGAGGCCGAGAUCCAGAGUACCACGAAGCACGAGGAAUUUUGUGGGAAGCAGGGGGGACCACCCUCCAAGGCUAAAAACUACUUGGCGACCGAUAGCGCAUAGUACCGUGAGGGAAAGGUGAAAAGAACCCCGGGAGGGGAGUGAAAUAGUACCUGAAACCGUAUGUCUACAAGCAGUCGAAGCGAAAGCGACGGCGUGCCUAUUGAAGAAUGAACCAACGAGUUAUCUGCACUAGCGAGGUUAAGUGGAAGACACGGAGCCGCAGCGAAAGCGAGUCUUAAGAGGGCGCUAGUUAGUGUAGGUAGACCCGAAACCGCAGUGAUCUACCCAUGUCCAGGUUGAAGCGCAGGUAAAAUUGCGUGGAGGACCGAACCGGUGAGCGUUGAAAAGCUUUCGGAUGAGAUGUGGGUAGGGGUGAAAUUCCAAUCGAACGCGGAGAUAGCUGGUUCUCCCCGAAAUAGCUUUAGGGCUAGCCUGAGGUAGUAAGUAUAGGCGGUAGAGCACUGAUCGGGCUAGGGGCCGUAAAGGUUACCGAACCCUGUCAAACUCCGAAUGGAUAUACUGUAGAGCCUUGGAGUCAGACUACGAGUGAUAAGAUCCGUGGUCAAAAGGGAAACAGCCCAGACCACCAGCUAAGGUCCCCAAUGUCGUACUAAGUGGAAAAGGAUGUGGGGUUUCAUAAACAACCAGGAUGUUGGCUCAGAAGCAGCCACCAUUUAAAGAGUGCGUAAUAGCUCACUGGUCGAGAGACCCUGCGCCGAAGAUUCCCGGGGCUAAAGUACGAAACCGAAGCUGUGGCUGUAUACGUAAAGUAUACGGGGUAGGGGAGCGUUCCCAUAGGGUAGAAGUCGAACUGGAAGGUUCGGUGGACUUGUGGGAAGUGAGAAUGUUGGUAUGAGUAGCGAAAAGAAAGGUGAGAAUCCUUUCCACCGAAAGCAUAAGGAUUCCUGAGCAACGAUCGUCGUCUCAGGGUAAGUCGGGACCUAAUCCGAGGCAGAGAGCGUAGGAGAUGGACAACUGGUUGAUAUUCCAGUACCGGUAGUAAUUGUUUGAGCAAUGGAGUGACACAGAAGGGCAGGCAAGCAUGCGAAUGGAAGAGCAUGUGUAAGCGUGUAGGGUGGUGCAUAGGCAAAUCCGUGCACUGAAAGCCUGAGGCGUGAUGCGGAGUGAGCAGAGAUGCGAGCGAAGUUGUUGACCCCACACUGUCGAGAAAAGCUUCUAGUGAGAGAGCUACCGCCCGUACCGUAAACCGACACAGGUAUGCGGGGAGAGAAUCCUAAGGUGCGCGGGAGAACCCUCGUUAAGGAACUCGGCAAAAUGUACCCGUAACUUCGGGAUAAGGGUAGCCACUGUUGUGAAGUCCCAUGCGGAUGGAGCAUAGAGUGGUCGCAGAGAAGAGGCCCAAGCGACUGUUUACCAUAAACACAGGUGCCUGCUAAAGCGAAAGCUGACGUAUAGGUGCUGACACCUGCCCAGUGCCGGAAGGUUAAGGAAGGAUGUUCGGAUUAGUCCAAAGCAUUCGACUGAAGCCCCGGUGAACGGCGGCCGUAACUAUAACGGUCCUAAGGUAGCGAAAUUCCUUGUCGGGUAAGUUCCGACCCGCACGAAAGGUGUAACGAUUUGGGCACUGUCUCAACGAGGGACCCGGUGAAAUUGAAAUACCUGUGAAGAUGCAGGUUACCCGCGACUGGACAGAAAGACCCCAUGGAGCUUUACUGUAACCUGACAUUGGGUUUUGAUACAUUACGUACAGGAUAGGUGGGAGGCUUGGAAAGUUGGACGCUAGUCUGACUGGAGCCGACGUUGGGAUACCACCCUUGAUGUAUUGAAAUUCUAACCGCGAGAGUAACGAAAUCCGGGACAGUGUCAGGCGGGCAGUUUGACUGGGGCGGUCGCCUCCGAAAG
rnacentral:rRNA from 1 species